GGUUCUGUUGUUUCCUCAUCUAAGUGUUGCUCUCUUAAGACUUACGAAAGCAUGCUCCACACCUUGUCCCUCUCAGAUUUUGGACUGCACUUCAGAUUCUUAAACCUUGGGUCGAGUGCUGUAGUUAUUUUUGGAAAUCUCACAUUGGUACCUUCUUUGCGUUUUUUCAAAUCUGCUGUGAAAGUGUUCUUAAAAUGAACAUGUGCUGGAUCAUCAUCUGAGUUUGCUUUAACAUGAAAUAUAUGUCAAAAUGCCAGUAAAACAGAACAUGAGAUAUACAAUUCUGCCCCAAGGAGUUCAGUCACAAAUUUAAUUAACACAUUUUUUUAACAAGUAUCAUCAGCAUGGAAGCAUGUCCCCUGGAAAGGUGGCCAAAGCAUGAAGGGGCAUGCGAAUGUUUGGCAUAUCUGGCAGAUACAUAUCUUGCAACACCAGCUACAGGGGUGGCAUGGGAAUGCCUGUUCUCACUUUUGGGUGACAUUGAAAUAGGGAGCAGGCAGCAUUGUCUCCCAUAAAUGUAGACAAAAUUGUUUGUCUUAAGCA